CGUAGGGUGCGAGCGUUAAUCGGAAUUACUGGGCGUAAAGCGUGCGCAGGCGGUCAUAUAAGACAGAUGUGAAAUCCCCGGGCUCAACCUGGGAACUGCAUUUGUGACUGUAUAGCUAGAGUACGGCAGAGGGGGAUGGAAUUCCGCGUGUAGCAGUGAAAUGCGUAGAUAUGCGGAGGAACACCGAUGGCGAAGGCAAUCCCCUGGGCCUGUACUGACGCUCAUGCACGAAAGCGUGGGGAGCAAGCAGGAUUAGAUACCCUGGUAGUCCACGCCCUAAACGAUGUCAACUGGUUGUUGGGUCUUCACUGACUCAGUAACGAAGCUAACGCGUGAAGUUGACCGCCUGGGGAGUACGGCCGCAAGGUUG
rnacentral:rRNA from 1 species